rnacentral:rRNA from 1 species
UACGGGAAGGCAGCAGUGGGGAAUAUUGCACAAUGGGCGCAAGCCUGAUGCAGCCAUGCCGCGUGUAUGAAGAAGGCCUUCGGGUUGUAAAGUACUUUCAGUCGUGAGGAAGGUGUUAAGGUUAAUAACCUUAGCAAUUGACGUUAGCGACAGAAGAAGCACCGGCUAACUCCGUGCCAGCAGCCGCGGUAAUACGGAGGGUGCGAGCGUUAAUCGGAAUUACUGGGCGUAAAGGGCACGCAGGCGGUUAAUUAAGUUGGAUGUGAAAUCCCCGGGCUUAACCUGGGAAUGGCAUUCAAGACUGGUUAGCUAGAGUCUUGUAGAGGGGGUAGAAUUCCAUGUGUAGCGGUGAAAUGCGUAGAGAUGUGGAGGAAUACCGGUGGCGAAGGCGGCCCCUGGGACAAAGGACUGACGCUCAUGUGCGAAAGCGUGGGGAGCGAAAC